GAUGAACGCUGGCGGCGUGCCUAAUACAUGCAAGUCGAGCGAACGGACGAGAAGCUUGCUUCUCUGAUGUUAGCGGCGGACGGGUGAGUAACACGUGGAUAACCUACCUAUAAGACUGGGAUAACUUCGGGAAACCGGAGCUAAUACCGGAUAAUAUUUUGAACCGCAUGGUUCAAAAGUGAAAGACGGUCCUGCUGUCACUUAUAGAUGGAUCCGCGCUGCAUUAGCUAGUUGGUAAGGUAACGGCUUACCAAGGCAACGAUGCAUAGCCGACCUGAGAGGAUGAGCGGCCACACUGGAAGUGAGACACGGUCCAGACUCCUACGGGAGGCAGCAGUAGGGAAUCUUCCGCAAUGGGCGAAAGCCUGACGGAGCAACGCCGCGUGAGUGAUGAGGGUCUUCGGAUCGUGAAACUCUGUUAUUGGGGAAGAACAUAUGUGUAAGUAACUGUGCACAACUGGACGGUACCUAAUCAGAAAGCCACGGCUAACUACGUG
rnacentral:rRNA from 1 species